rnacentral:sRNA from 2 species
CCUUUGGGGAGUAGCCUCUCGAUCUAUCGAGAUAAUCGUCAACAUAAUUGAAGCAAAAUCUUCAUGGCGGUUAUGACUCACAUUAAUCCUACUAGUGAGUU